rnacentral:sRNA from 1 species
AGAGAGAGAGGGGGAGUGUUUGUGGGGCUGGAGGGGUGCAGCACCCUGCCAUUUGGGCUGUCGUAGGCAGGAACGGGAUGACUAAACUGCCUGAUCCUUCCCCAAGCCCAUUCUAGACUUCAUAGAGGGACUGUGAAUGGGGCAGCCCCAGUCUCUGCAGCUGCUGCUUCUGCUCUCUCCCAGUAGGACUGGCUUGGGACCAGCUAUCUGAGGGUGAAGUUGUCCAGCGAUGGCUCAGCAAAGGCUCCCAAGGCUUCUUCAUUCAGCAAAGGCCCUUGGGAAAAACCCUUCAUGGCGUCGGAGAACACGCAUGGGGUGGGGAAUUCACUCCUCACUCAGAGAGUUCCCACUCCUCACUGUUACCCUGCUAAGAGCGCAGAGUCAAGAAAGGAGAGGCUGCUUCAGCUCAUGUCUAAGUAAUGUGGGAGCACGUUUGCCUCCAUGCCCAACUCCUCCCUCCUCCCUUGGUACCCAUCAGCCUUACUCACAUGUCUCAAGGCCAGUUUGUUUUGGGUCCUCAGCUCUCCUGCAAGAGUCUUCAGGCACUGUAAGUUGAAGGAGGGAGUGGGCAUGCAGGGGAGGGAAGGACUG